rnacentral:rRNA from 1 species
CAGCCCACGGUAAUACAGAGGGUGCGAGCGUUAAUCGGAUUUACUGGGCGUAAAGCGUGCGUAGGCGGCUUCUUAAGUCGGAUGUGAAAUCCCUGAGCUUAACUUAGGAAUUGCAUUCGAUACUGGGAAGCUAGAGUAUGGGAGAGGAUGGUAGAAUUCCAGGUGUAGCGGUGAAAUGCGUAGAGAUCUGGAGGAAUACCGAUGGCGAAGGCAGCCAUCUGGCCUAAUACUGACGCUGAGGUACGAAAGCAUGGGGAGCAAACAGGAUUAGAUACCCCUGUAGUCCCUGUCUCUUAUACAA